rnacentral:misc_RNA from 1 species
AAGUCGUAACAAGGUCUCCGUAGGUGAACCUGCGGAGGGAUCAUUAACACAUUUACUAUAUGUAUAGAUGCAGGUAUCGCAAGAUACAUGCAAAUAUCAUAUAAUAACCAACAACGUGAACUAUGGUGAGAUGUUGGUGUGUUUGAUAUUCGUAUCAACACAUUGCAUCUCAUCCCCCUCCCCUAUUGCGAGAGGACUCGACUAUAUCCUAGUCGAUGCACCUCCCUCUUUAGGACCAUUUUUUUUUUUUACAAAAACGAAAAAUAACAUUAACCCAGUACUAUUACUAAUACACUUGUACUGUAUGUAUAUAGAUGUAUAUCGAUGUCAGUAAUGAUCUCGCUAUCUAUCUGUAUCAUAUGGUGUUUUCUAAUCAAAACAACUAAAUGUACAACUGUUAGCAAUGGAUAUCUUGGUUCUC